AUCAGCCGUCACACAAACCCUAGCCCUAAUUUCCCUCAAUCCCCACAGCCUCCCGCUCCCCUCCUCCACCCCCCUCCUCGCGUCACCACGGCCUCCGCCCUGGAGCCCCGCCGCCGCCUCUCCUCCACCCCCUCCUCGCGUCGCCACGGCCUCCGCCUGCUAUUCCUCCUCCACCACGCUAGCCCCUCUACCUCGUCUUCCUUCUCUUCGUUGUCAAUGCGGCCGCAUCGACCGCUGGUUCCAGAUCGAGCGCGGGUUAGGCGAGCCCGGUGGUGGGGUGAAGGGGCAAGGGAAGAGGAGGUGGGAGACUAGGUGAAGGAGUAGGUCGGCCCUCCUGGAGGCGGUGCCGCCGCCCAGCCAGGGAGGAGGCCAGGCUCGCCUCUGUUUUUCCGUGAGCGGCGACAGCGCCUAUGCCUCCACCCCACCUUCUUUUCCAUGCUUCUUCCUUGGCAUGACAGGUAGAUUUUGGGGAGACCCCUUGAAUAAUAAUUCAAGUGGACGGCCGAUGCGCCUUGUUGUUUAGCGGUAUGAUCUAUGAUGGUCGGCGAAAGUAUGUUCUAUAUUGCAAGACUAUUGCCGCUGAUGUCAAGCCUCUCGAGAUCCGAGAGCCUCCUCCAACUUCCCCUCCCCACCAAGGAUGACGUAGUAACCGCACGUAGAAUUACCUACAACUUGAGUAGAUGCACAUUAUUCACUUCAUAUUCCAAUGGUUUUACUUCCACAUCACAUGUUUGUUUAUAUUAAAUCACAAAAAAUUCAUGAGCUUGCUUGGUUACUGUGGAGAAGGGCAUUCUUUCAAGGAGCUGUAGGUUUUUUGAAUAUGCUCCCUAUUGGACACUUUUUUUUGGUAUGUACAAGAUUUGUUGAGAAUGGGUGUGAGAAAAUUGACCAUCCGGUGGAUUUAUACGCACGGUACUCAGACAUGGUGAAAGCAAAGACCGAAAGGUUUCGAUUUAGAUGAUUUGGAGGUGCCUUGUCCAUCUUCUUACCUCCAGGUCAAAAUUAAGCAGAUGUUUUAUUGCUAGAGGACAUGCUCUUACUAUCUGAGAUGGAUGAUGAUGCACGGUACAACCAAAAAUUCAGAGUUGGGCUUUACACACUUCAGUGGGCAAGUGAAUUCCCAGUUUUUCUUAUUUCCCCUGUUACUUCUCUAUUGUACAAAGAGCAAUGAGUUUACAUUAGCUGAAGCCUGAAUGUUAGAUUGGAAUGCAAGAGUAGUAUCACAACACGGGGGUGGAGACCUGAAGCGACGCAGAGGGGCAGCGAACGAAGGAAAUCAGAGUCGCGCUAUUUCUAUAUCCUAAUUCUGCGCUCUUAUUUUUUUACAUAUUUAAUUUACAAUCUUGUGUUCCGAAUAAUUCUUGUGGCUUGACAAGACAGAGUGGAGGAUCAAGGAAUGAAAUCAAAACAUUUUUCUAUUUAAAUAUAUCCAAAGGAUGAUAAUUGGCCGUGUCAAGAUGAGUGCACGAGAAGGAUUGUGAAAAAGAAAGGUGAAAAGGGUUCUGAGUGUUCUUUCCUCACUUUUCAUGACAUGAAUAUGUCCUUUAGUUCUUGUUAUUCAUAUUAAAGAAAGCGAAAAGUAAUAAUUAUGCAUAUUUUGAAAAUUUGUGUUCUACAGUUCAAUCAACGAGACCAUAAUUUAGUGGCGAAACAUACUAAACAGUACAGAUGUUGCCCACACAUGAGCGCCCAUGGGGAAGCCCAGAUCCAUCAUAUCGCUUUGCGUGGAAAGCGGUUCAAUUCUCUAUUUUCCCUGUAUAUAGAGUAUCGUGCUUCCACUAUAUUGCUCAUAGAUCUUGUAUGUGUAUCGCCAAUUUGAUAUGCAAUUAUUUUUUUACCGGAAUAACAUGUUAGGGCAUGACUAUUCUAAGUUUAACAUGUUAUGUAUGCAGACGCACAACAAUAACAAAAGAUAUGGUUUAGUCAUGCACAUGACUACUAAUCACAAAAAGAGUUAGGAACAAGUUUACUAUUGUGAUUUUCAGCAACCGAAAUAGAAGUAGAGUUAACUAAUGAUUUUAAGCUACACUUUAGCCUUGUUCUGAUAACUAGAGCUGCCAUGAUGUUGCUCUAUUAUAAGUGCCUUGCUUACACCAGUUGAAAUAACGCAUGGUUGUAUUUUCUUUUGUUUGCACUGUAGGCAAUGUGUGGUAGAAGCUGUAAUGAUGUAGAGUCCUGUAUAUUUUUUAAAUUCAUAAUUGGCAGUGUCAAUUUGUCAUGUGUGAUGGUGCAUGAAUCAUAGUGAGCUUAUUUCUUUGCACACUUGGUGUAUCCUCUUAACAUCUUCUGUACAGGUCAUAGAAUGGAAAGAUCAGUAUGGUGGUACUGUAUUGAAUCAAUUACAUAGGCUUGGAGACUCCCUUGAUUGGACCCAUGAGAUAAACUUCUUAUUUUCUUAGUUAAGAAAAAUAGUGAAAACAAUGUAUUAUCUAUAGUUCCAAUUCCUAAUGUGAACUUAAUGUCAGCCUUGUGCAUCAGUGCUUUACAAUGGAUGAGAAAAGGUCAAAAGCUAUAAUUUAAGCUUUUGCCAGGUUGUAUAAAGAUGGCCUUAUUUAUAAGUUAGUAUCCUCACCUUUCGUUGUGCCUGUUAA